rnacentral:rRNA from 1 species
CUACGGGACGCAGCAGUGGGGAAUAUUGCACAAUGGGCGCAAGCCUGAUGCAGCCAUGCCGCGUGUAUGAAGAAGGCCUUCGGGUUGUAAAGUACUUUCAGCGGGGAGGAAGGGAGUAAAGUUAAUACCUUUGCUCAUUGACGUUACCCGCAGAAGAAGCACCGGCUAACUCCGUGCCAGCAGCCGCGGUAAUACGGAGGGUGCAAGCGUUAAUCGGAAUGACUGGGCGUAAAGCGCACGCAGGCGGUUUGUUAAGUCAGAUGUGAAAUCCCCGGGCUCAACCUGGGAACUGCAUCUGAUACUGGCAAGCUUGAGUCUCGUAGAGGGGGGUAGAAUUCCAGGUGUAGCGGUGAAAUGCGUAGAGAUCUGGAGGAAUACCGGUGGCGAAGGCGGCCCCCUGGACGAAGACUGACGCUCAGGUGCGAAAGCGUGGGGAGCAAACAGGAUUAGAUACCCUCGUAGUC